GUCUUAACCGGGCGUUAAGUUGCAGGGUAUAGACCCGAAACCCGGUGAUCUAGCCAUGGGCAGGUUGAAGGUUGGGUAACACUAACUGGAGGACCGAACCGACUAAUGUUGAAAAAUUAGCGGAUGACCUGUGGCUGGGGGUGAAAGGCCAAUCAAACCGGGAGAUAGCUGGUUCUCCCCGAAAGCUAUUUAGGUAGCGCCUCGUGAAUUCAUCUCCGGGGGUAGAGCACUGUUUCGGCUAGGGGGCCAUCCCGGCUUACCAACCCGAUGCAAACUGCGAAUACCGGAGAAUGUUAUCACGGGAGACACACGGCGGGUGCUAACGUCCGUCGUGAAGAGGGAAACAACCCAGACCGCCAGCUAAGGUCCCAAAGUCAUGGUUAAGUGGGAAACGAUGUGGGAAGGCCCAGACAGCCAGGAUGUUGGCUUAGAAGCAGCCAUCAUUUAAAGAAAGCGUAAUAGCUCACUGGUCGAGUCGGCCUGCGCGGAAGAUGUAACGGGGCUAAACCAUGCACCGAAGCUGCGGCAGCGACGCUGAUGCGUUGUUGGGUAGGGGAGCGUUCUGUAAGCCUGCGAAGGUGUGUCGUGAGGCAUGCUGGAGGUAUCAGAAGUGCGAAUGCUGACAUAAGUAACGAUAAAGCGGGUGAAAAGCCCGCUCGCCGGAAGACCAAGGGUUCCUGUCCAACGUUAAUCGGGGCAGGGUGAGUCGACCCCUAAGGCGAGGCCGAAAGGCGUAGUCGAUGGGAAACGGGUUAAUAUUCCCGUACUUGGUGUUACUGCGAAGGGGGGACGGAGAAGGCUAUGUUGGCCGGGCGACGGUUGUCCCGGUUUAAGCGUGUAGGUGUGUGUUCCAGGUAAAUCCGGUUCACUUUAACACUGAGGCGUGAUGACGAGGCACUACGGUGCUGAAGCAACAAAUGCCCUGCUUCCAGGAAAAGCCUCUAAGCAUCAGGUAACAUCAAAUCGUACCCCAAACCGACACAGGUGGUCAGGUAGAGAAUACCAAGGCGCUUGAGAGAACUCGGGUGAAGGAACUAGGCAAAAUGGUGCCGUAACUUCGGGAGAAGGCACGCUGACACGUAGGUGAAGUGAUUUACUCAUGGAGCUGAAGUCAGUCGAAGAUACCAGCUGGCUGCAACUGUUUAUUAAAAACACAGCACUGUGCAAACACGAAAGUGGACGUAUACGGUGUGACGCCUGCCCGGUGCCGGAAGGUUAAUUGAUGGGGUCAGCGCAAGCGAAGCUCCUGAUCGAAGCCCCGGUAAACGGCGGCCGUAACUAUAACGGUCCUAAGGUAGCGAAAUUCCUUGUCGGGUAAGUUCCGACCUGCACGAAUGGCGUAAUGAUGGCCAGGCUGUCUCCACCCGAGACUCAGUGAAAUUGAACUCGCUGUGAAGAUGCAGUGUACCCGCGGCAAGACGGAAAGACCCCGUGAACCUUUACUAUAGCUUGACACUGAACAUUGAGCCUUGAUGUGUAGGAUAGGUGGGAGGCUUUGAAGUGUGGACGCCAGUCUGCAUGGAGCCGGCCUUGAAAUACCACCCUU
rnacentral:rRNA from 1 species